rnacentral:rRNA from 1 species
UACAGAGGGUGCGAGCGUUAAUCGGAAUUACUGGGCGUAAAGCGCGCGUAGGCGGCUUUGCAAGUCGGGUGUGAAAUCCCUCAGCUUAACUGGGGAACUGCGUGUGAUACUGGAUGGCUUGGAUUUGGGAGAGGGAUGCGGAAUUCCAGGUGUAGCGGUGAAAUGCGUAGAUAUGCGGAGGAACACCGAUGGCGAAGGCAAUCCCCUGGGCCUGCACUGACGCUCAUGCACGAAAGCGUGGGGAGCAAACAGG